rnacentral:rRNA from 1 species
UACGGGGGGAGCAAGCGUUGUUCGGAUUUACUGGGCGUAAAGGGCGCGUAGGCGGCCACCGCAAGUCAAUUGUGAAAUCUCCGGGCUUAACUCGGAAAGGUCAACUGAUACUGCGGGGCUAGAGUGCGGAAGGGGCAACUGGAAUUCUCGGUGUAGCGGUGAAAUGCGUAGAUAUCAUUUGGAACGCCAAUGGUGAAAACAGCUCGCUGGGGGUUUGCUGACGCUGAGACACGAAAGCCAGGGGAGCAAACGGG